UGGGGUAUCGCCAAGCGGUAAGGCACCGGUUUUUGAUACCGGCAUUCCCUUGUUCGAAUCCAGGUACCCCAGCCA
rnacentral:tRNA from 2 species